UACGGAGGGUGCGAGCGUUGUUCGGAAUUACUGGGCGUAAAGGGCGCGUAGGUGGUUGUGUAAGUCAGAUGUGAAAUCUCUCGGCUCAACUGAGAAACUGCAUCUGAUACUGCAUGACUAGAGUGCAGCAGAGGGAAACGGAAUUCCUGGUGUAGAGGUGAAAUUCGUAGAUAUCAGGAGGAACACCGGUGGCGAAGGCGGUUUCCUGGGCUGACACUGACACUGAGGCGCGAAAGCGUGGGUAGCAAACAGG
rnacentral:rRNA from 1 species